CAGACAAGGCUCACCUGCUUCCACUCAAACCAUCAACCUCCCCAUAAAAGCCUGGUCUUCACUCCGCUGCUCUGCCAGAUCACUCCGUCUAGUUCGGUAGUUGCGCUGCGUGUUUCUUGUGAAUCUUCGAUGCUCUUGUUUUUUUGAUUGUUCCUCACGUUUUUUUUUUAACCCAGAUAUCCUGUGUGCCUUGCUGCACGCCUGCGUCGAGUCUUCAGUGCAGUGAUCUCUUUCCAUGUGCUCAGCACUCCUGCUGCCCUUGGGUUUCCACCAGCCAGCCUGCUCUCUGCCUCCACUGCUCUUUGUUGCUUCUUUUUUGAGCAAUAAGCUCUUUUAUUUAUCAUCACCUGUAUUUUAUUCUCUGCUUUGGGGUCCAAAGUAAAUCAAGACCUAACACCAUGCACCUCCAGCACUAAUAAAUGGUAAAAUGUAAUGGCCGUGGAUACAGUCGUGGGACUGGAGGACCUGACUGAUAGCGAAAAUUUUGCAGAGGUCACUGAAAAAAAUGGCGCCUGUGUGUGUGACCAGCCGCAACAAAAGACACCUACAUCUUGUUUUACAAAGCAGAGAUACAACUUUUCAAAAUAAAACCAAUUCAGCUUGACGAUAAGUCAACACCUUUACCUGGAUCAAGUCAGAUGGUGCAAAGGCUCCCACAGCCUAGCCUCAGAUCUCACUGAGAGGCUGAACCCAGGCCAGCAGAUGCAUCACUCACCCAACACCAAGGUCCAUCUGGAAGGCCUGUGAUCGCGGCUCACCACUGAAGCUCUGGCUGAGGACAAAGCUUGUUAGCCACACGUGCCAUGGGUAUUCAGCAACAUGUACAGUAUGUCGUAAAAUAAAAAAAAGAUGAAAACAUUAAAAGUACAAGAACAGAUUGAGAACAGGUCACAUGAGCAGACGAAGAUAUACUGGAGCACAUUUUAAAUCUACACUACAACCUUAUUCACACACACACACACACACACACACGCAAUGUGUCAUGGGGCUCCUCUCGGCCUCCAACGACGGUUUAUUAGACACACCACAGAUGGACUAUUUGUAUUCUAUCCAACUGAAAUCACUGUCAGUGUCAGUCAAAGCUAAAAGCAAAAGGAAUCGGUUUGUAGCAGAUUAUGGAUACACAGUACUUACAUGGAAUGUCUAAUGUUCUGGUAGUACUAAUAGCCUCACUUGAUUUAUUUUAGCAUUACAAAGUAAUCAUUAACAUUUCACAGCGUGCUGACAGUGGAGGCAGCCAAAUACAGAGAGUGACAUUGGCUAAUACCAUGGCAUAGGGACAAAAACACAGUGACACUUUAGGGGAAAAGAUCUGUUGGUAACUAGAGAAAUUGUCUCCAGCUACACUGUUGUGUUGUAGUUUAUUGUGCGGGAUUUAAGAGGGUGUGAAUACACGGAUAAGCCUCGCUGAAGCCACAGCACCAUCAGGAACACUGGUUUUACAUCCUGUAUGCAGCGAUUUGAUCCUUCAAGAGUGUUAGUGAUGUCGGGGGCUAAGGUCACAGUUAGUGUCCAGGCUGUCUGCGGGCCAAUCAGAUUCUUCCACAGUGAGUGGAUAAACUUCUUUGAGGAGACGUCUUUGUGCUUGGGGGUAGUGAUACGCUGAAACUGUAAACAGACUAACACUAACUAAUUAUAAACAGACUGCUGGUUGAAAACAUUAUUGUGGGCUGUAGCACUGAACAUUAGAUUAAUUGAAGCUAGGAGGCGUAGACUUUUGUUCAUUGACCGUCACUGAAAAAUUAAGCACAAGAUUGACAGUAGUGUAAAUCAUGUUUUGUAUCUUGAUAGGUGAAGUUUUUGGGGCAGCAUGUCAGAAAUGUUUGAAGAUCUGUAUGUGGCAUUACCUCUGAACGACACAGCCAGCUGACCAAACACACAAUUGGUAAAAAGCUAUUUUGUAAAUAUGUCUGUGUUAAUAUAUUAAUGUCGUAAUAGUCAUGUAUUAAUUGCAGUUCUGCAUAAAACAUUUGUAGAGCUGA